rnacentral:rRNA from 1 species
GAUGAACGCUGGCGGCGUGCCUAAUACAUGCAAGUCGAGCGAACAGACGAGGAGCUUGCCCCUCUGACGUUAGCGGCGGACGGGUGAGUAACACGUGGAUAACCCACCUAUAAGACUGGGAUAACUUCGGGAAACCGGAGCUAAUACCGGAUAAUAUAUUGAACCGCAUGGUUCAAUAGUGAAAGACGGGUUUGCUGUCACUUAUAGAUGGAUCCGCGCCGCAUUAGCUAGUUGGUAAGGUAACGGCUUACCAAGGCGACGAUGCGUAGCCGACCUGAGAGGGUGAUCGGCCACACUGGAACUGAGACACGGUCCAGACUCCUACGGGAGGCAGCAGUAGGGAAUCUUCCGCAAUGGGCGAAAGCCUGACGGAGCAACGCCGCGUGAGUGAUGAAGGUCUUCGGAUCGUAAAACUCUGUUAUUAGGGAAGAACAAAUGUGUAAGUAACUAUGCACGUCUUGACGGUACCUAAUCAGAAAGCCACGGCUAACUACGUG